AGAAUCAACGCUGGCGGCGUGCCUAACACAUGCAAGUCGAACGAGAAAGUGGAGCAAUCCAUGAGUAAAGUGGCGACCGGGUGAGUAACACGUGACUAACCUACCUUCGAGUGGGGGAUAACCUCGGGAAACCGAGGCUAAUACCGCAUAACAUCGCAAGAUCAAAGCAGCAAUGCGCUGGAAGAGGGGGUCGCGGCUGAUUAGCUAGUUGGCGGGGUAACGGCCCACCAAGGCGAAGAUCGGUA
rnacentral:rRNA from 1 species